AGGAAGGUAGAAGUAAUGUCUCCUAAUUUUUUUAGGGUACCCUACAAAUUGUAUUUAUCGGACCUAGAUCCAAGCUUGUCAAUCUACGAACAUUUCACAUAAACUGGACAACCCCAAACUCUAAGGUAAGAGUAUCAACCUACACCCAGUCCAUAUCUCAUAUGGAGUGAUUGCGACUGACUUACUUGGAACCUUGUUGAGCAUAAAGCAAAUAGUCUCAAGAGCAUAAUCCAAAAAAAAAGACUGGCGGAUCUACAAACCCCAUCACA
rnacentral:lncRNA from 1 species